ACACACACUGACACACAGCACAAUGAUGAUGUCACUCAUUCUACUGCUGGGGAUCCUGGGACUCCUCACUCAGGCCUGGAGAUCCUGGAAAAGCUGCUGAGGAAAUACUGUGUUAAACUGUCCAGACAGCAACUGGUGAUGAUGGGAUAGACAUGGUGAAAAAGUAGAAUUACCAUUGAAGUGUAGCUGAAUACAUCAUCCUGGGAAUUGCACCACAGGGAAAAAGAUAAGGAAACUUAAAAAUGCAAACCAGGAUGCAAUGUUGAGGCUGACCAUGUGGGGGAAGACUAAUCACAUUUCAGGACCACACAUGCACAUCCAGAACAUCAAUUGAUCUUCAAGAGUCAAGGGAUUCCACCAUCCAGACUAGACUCAGCUUAUACUGUAAUGAUGGACAGUAGUACAGUAAUACAAUACAAUAAUGUAUAGAAAAAAAGGAGAAAAUAACUUUGUAUACCAGCAGAUGUCUGUGCUGAGUAAUGAGAGAACUACAUGAUGGUAAUCACAGAAAUGGAUAAAUUGAUCACAGUGUGGAUCAGACCUCAUCUGGAGUUAUACAACAUGUACAAGGAUUGAUGCAGCUAGUGGUCAAAACCUUACUGUAACACACUGGAAAUACAGUCAGUAAUUCCAAAGGUAACAAGCAACGUAAAUAAAGAAACAUAAACAAACAACAAAAACCUUCAGCAGGAGAAAUCCACAGUAGUUAAACACCAAAAAGAUCAUAAUCACAGCAACCAUAAACUACACACAAAAGAUACAUAAAGAUUAAAAAACAGAAUACAUGGAAAAGGAGGCAAAACACAAACUCCUUAAAGGAGACAAACAAACUCAAUACAGAGAGAGUAAAAGAGACCAAACUGCUGGGAACCAAGAACCAGCAGAGUCAGUUUAAUCAGCUGGACCCCACACACACACACACACACACACACACACACGCGCGCGCACACACACAC